CUUCAGUGCACAACUGCGGGCAGAUAAAGUGUACAUGAGCGUCAAAGCCGCCAGCAGUCAGGAUCAGACCCUCUCCAGCGAUCACUUCGGUGUUCACGCCCACAAUAAGGUUCGGCAUCACACCCUCCAUCACGUCUGGGUUGCCACCCUUGCCGAUACCAGCGAUAAGACCAUCCUUGAUACCCACGUCAGCUUUGUAGAUACCAGUGUAGUCCACAAUCAAAGCAUUCGUGAUGAUCGUAUCCACAACUUGAGCGGAAGUCUUCCCAGAUGCUUGGCCCAUGCCUUCACGCAG
rnacentral:sRNA from 1 species